ensembl:lncRNA
GGUCACUGGAGAUGUGUGUUGAUACGGGACAGGACACUCUGGACAACUUCGAACAAUGCCACGCACACCAUCUCAUGUGUGGAUACAUUUCCGCUCAGCCAAUCUGGAAGGAAAGGCUGUGUACAGUUGCAAAUACUGUGCAAAGACCUAUGUUAAGAAUGCCACAAAGAUGCAGCAGCAUAUAGCCAAGUGCCCAAAGUUUUCCCAGAACUCAAAACAAGCAACCCCAGACAAGAGUUCAUCUGCUUCCCUCCGAUGUGAAAAUGAUUCAGAUUCAGACACCCUCUCGUCAGCUCCCGGUCACUCUGGAAUCGGAGGAUUGUUUGACUCGAUGGAUGAACGGAGCCAGAGAAAUGCUGAUGAAUGUUUCGCUCGAGCAAUGUAUGCAACUGGCUCACCUCUGAUGCUCACAUCCAAUGUCUACUGGAAGAGAUUCCUAAAUGUCCUUCGUCCUUCAUACAUACCUUCCACCAGUCAUGCUUUAUCUACUCAUUUGCUGGAUGGAGAGUUCAACAGAGUGCAAGCAAAGGUCAAGCAAACCCUUGACAAAGCAGAGUGCAUUUCAGUCAUCUCUGAUGGGUGGUCGAAUGUCCGGGGACAAGGAAUCAUCAACUACAUUGUCACCACCCCUCAACCAGUAUUCUAUAAGAGCACAGACACAAAGCACAACAGACACACAGGAUCCUACAUUGCUGAUGAGCUGAAAGCAGUCAUCAGUGAUCUUGGACCUGAGAAGGUUUGUGCACUUGUAACUGACAAUGCUGCAAACAUGAAGGUUGCUUGGGCACACGUGAAGGAGACCUACCCUCACAUAACAACAAUUGGCUGUGCUGCCCAUGCUCUUAAUCGUCUCCUUAAGGACAUCAUGGCACUGAAUACAAUGAACACACUGUAUAAGACAGCGAAGCAAGUCGUGAAAUAUGUGAAGGGCAAACAGGUAGCUUCAGCAAUCUACCUCUCUAAGCAAAAAGAAAAAAACAAGAACGCCACACUGAAGCUCCCCAGCAUCACUCGAUGGAGUGGGGUUGUCCUCAUGUACCACAGUCUGCUAGAGGGGAAGGAGUCUUUGCAAGAGAUGGCCAUAUCCCAAACUGCAGCCAUUGAAAGUGCCAUCAAGAGAAUCCUGUUAGAUGAUAUGUUCUGGGAAAAAGUGACUGGCAGCCUGAGAAUCCUCAAACCAAUAGCAGCAGCUAUUGCCAAGAUAGAAGGGGAUACUGCCAUCUUGUCAGAUGUUAAAUAUCUGUUUGCUGAGCUCAAAGAAGAAAUGCAAACUGUCCUGCCCGCCUCCCUGCUGCUUCAAGCGGAGGAAACUGCAGUGGUCAAGUCCCUGGAGAAGCACCAAGAGUUCUGCAC